rnacentral:rRNA from 1 species
CAGCAGCCGCGGGAAUACGGAGGGGGCUAGCGUUGUUCGGAAUUACUGGGCGUAAAGCGCACGUAGGCGGCUUGGUAAGUUAGAGGUGAGAGCCCGGAGCUCAACUCCGGAAUUGCCUUUAAGACUGCCGAGCUAGUAGGUGAGAGAGGUAAGUGGAAUUCCGAGUGUAGAGGUGAAAUUCGUAGAUAUUCGGAAGAACACCAGUGGCGAAGGCGGCUUACUGGUUCAUAACUGACGCUGAGGCGCGAAAGCGUGGGGAGCAAACAGGAUUAGAGACCCCGGUAGUCCCUGUCUCUUAUAC